ensembl:rRNA 5S_rRNA 5S ribosomal RNA
GUCUACGGCCAUGCCACCCUGAACAAGCCCGAUCCCGUCCGAUCUCGCAAGCUGAGCAGGGUGGGGCCUGGUGAGUACCUGGAUGGGAGACCACCUAGGAAUACCAGGUGCUGUAGGCG